AUGAUGAGUCGCGGGUAGACAAUCUGAAAAGAUAAAUAAAUACCUUUUUUAAAAAUCAGAUAAUAAAUGAAGCUCCAAACGCGCCCGCUUCUGCCGGUGUGUGGAAUGAUGAAAGCAACUGCGAAAUUUAUUAUAUAAUAUUUGAUUGGCGGUAGAAUCACAAGGGGAGAGGUUUACGAUUCAAUGUCUAGCUUGUAUUCAAAUUAUAUUCCGCUGUUUCUCUGGUUGCUCCAUUUGGUCCGAACCUUGGUCAUGCGGAGUCAAUGAAUUCAACCGAAAAGUCGUACAAGAGGACUACGUCCAUCACCAGCACGUUGCUCAGAUUGUUUUGCCGCUAUAUUCAAAACCACGCGGAUUUCAUUCGGGAAGAUCCUAAUCCAUGGAGUGACGACAACAUCGCAGAAUCUGAGUGUGAAAUUCCGAAAUUUUUUAAAAGCAUUGCGAAACCCUACCCACCGGUCCGGGGAAAAGUAAAAACACCAAAAUGUUGUGCCAAAUAUCAAAGAAUGUGGCGGCAGAAAGCUCGGUUGGAAGUCGAAAUUCAUUCAGCUGAGCAAGCAGUUCGAAGUUCCAUACCGCCUCACUAAAGUGUUCAAUGAAGACCAAAUUCAGAUGGCACGAUAGAUGAAGUAUGUUCAUUUAAAUAUUAUUCAUUGCUCCUGAUUUUUGUUUGACUUUUGUAUGAACUGGAAUGGAAUAAAUAUUGUAAUAUUGUAAAUAUUGUAAAAUAAUUGUAACUUAUAACGUUCGA